rnacentral:tRNA from 1 species
GGGUCCAUAGCCUAGUGGUAGAGCAUUUGACUGCAGAUCAAGAGGUCACCGGUUCAAUACCGGUUGGGCCCU